GUCCUUUGUAGGGACAUAGAUGAAUCUGGAGAACAUUAUUCUCAGCAAACUGACACAAGAACAGAAAAUGAAAUACUGCAUAUUCUCACUCAUAGUGAAAUAUGAAGCCUGGUCUCCAGCUGAGAAUGAGGAUGGAGUAGGAGAAGCUGGUGGUUUUUUGAGGGACAAGAAGGCUGGAAUGCAGAGGCACAAUCAUAGCUCUGCAGCCUCAACUUCCUGGCUGGGCUCAAGUGAUCCUCUCACCUCAGCCUCCUGA
rnacentral:lncRNA from 13 species